UUUUUAAAUGGAAUCUUGUAUGAAUGGUUGGACAAAGGAGAAGCUGUCUUUUUUUUAAAAGUUGAAUUUUACUUUUAAGUGAGAAGGCUUAAAUGAUUUAGAGGGACGAUAAGACCCUAUAAAGCUUUACAUUAUAAUUGCAUGUGGUUAAAUUUUAACAUAAAAGUUUGAAAUGCAGUUUUUGUUAUAUUGGGGAGAUAAAAGUAUAAAGUAUAAUAACUGCUUUAAUUAGUAAACAAUAAUAAGUGGAAAAAGGAUCCUGUUUAUAGAAUAAAAGAUCAAGUUACUUUAGGGAUAACAGUGUAAUUUUUUUUGAGAGUUCAUAUCGAAAGAAGAGUUUGCAACCUCGAUGUUGAAUUAAAAUAUCUAUAUAAUGUAGUUGUUAUAGAAGAAGGUCUGUUCGACCUUUAAUUUUUUAC
rnacentral:rRNA from 1 species